rnacentral:rRNA from 1 species
AUUGAACGCUGGCGGCAUGCCUUACACAUGCAAGUCGAACGGCAGCACGGGAGCAAUCCUGGUGGCGAGUGGCGAACGGGUGAGUAAAGUAUCGGAACGUGCCCAGUCGUGGGGGAUAACGUAGCGAAAGUUACGCUAAUACCGCAUACGAUCUACGGAUGAAAGCGGGGGAUCGCAAGACCUCGCGCGAUUGGAGCGGCUGGUGUCAGAUUAGGUAGUUGGUGGGGUAAAGGCUCACCAAGCCGACGAUCUGUAGCUGGUCUGAGAGGACGACCAGCCACACGGGGACUGAGACACGGCCCAGACUCCUACGGGAGGCAGCAGUGGGGAAUUUUGGACAAUGGGCGCAAGCCUGAUCCAGCCAUGCCGCGUGCAGGAUGAAGGCCUUCGGGUUGUAAACUGCUUUUGUACGGAACGAAAAGGUUUGGCCUAAUAAGCUGGACCCAUGACGGUACCGUAAGAAUAAGCACCGGCUAACUACGUGCCAGCCGCCGCCGUAA